rnacentral:rRNA from 1 species
UACGUAGGGUGCAAGCGUUGUCCGGAAUUAUUGGGCGUAAAGAGCUCGUAGGUGGCCUGUCGCGUCGGCUGUGAAAACUCGGGGCUCAACUCCGAGCUUGCAGUCGAUACGGGCAGGCUAGAGUUCGGCAGGGGAGACUGGAAUUCCUGGUGUAGCGGUGAAAAUGCGCAGAUAUCAGGAGGAACACCGGUGGCGAAGGCGGGUCUCUGGGGCCGAUACUGACACUGAGGAGCGAAAAGCGUGGGGGAGCGAAACAGGGAUUAGAAAA